AGGACUAACGCUGGCGGCGUGCCUAACACAUGCAAGUCGAGCGGGGUAGCAAUACCCAGCGGCAGACGGGUGAGUAACGCGUGGUCAACCUUCCGUUGAAUGGGGGAUAACUAGCCGAAAGGUUAGCUAAUACCGCAUACGAUCUUUUGAAGGCAUCUUUAAAAGAUGAAAGGAGCAAUUCGUUCAACGACGGGACCGCGUCCCAUUAGCUAGAUGGUGGGGUAAUGGCCUACCAUGGCAACGAUGGGUAGCUGGUUUGAGAGAGCGACCAGCCACACUGGGACUGAGAAACGGCCCAGACUCCUACGGGAGGCAGCAGUGAGGAAUUUUCCGCAAUGGGCGAAAGCCUGACGGAGCGACGCCGCGUGUGGGAAGAGGCCUUCGGGUCGUAAACCACUGUCGAAGGGGACGAUAAUGACGGUACCUUGGAGGAACGCCCGGCUAACUACGUGCCAGCAGCCGC
rnacentral:rRNA from 1 species